rnacentral:piRNA from 1 species
UAACAAACAAUAAAUUUUGUUCAUGGAUGA